GUGCAGUUUUGAGCAAUUAUGCAUCAAUUAAAAAAAUGUAAACUCCAUAAACUUUGAACCAGGUCGAAAUUGGUCGAAAGUAAGAUGAUCUUGAGCUAUUUAAGAAUGAUGCUCACUCACAAUUUGGUAUUAUCAAGCUAAGUGAUCAGGUUGAAAGCUAGGCGACCGAGUAGAUAGUCAGGCAAUCGGGUUGAAAGUUAAGCGAUCGUGUAGAUAACCCGGCGAUCGGGUAGAAAGCUAAACGAUCGUUGAAGGUUGAAGACUGUGAAGACAUUUAAGAUUUCUUAUUUAAGUCUUGAUCUUGUUUCAUGUACUGUCAUAGGAUGUAUAUAUAAACACAAUAUUAAGAUUUCAUUUUGUAUAUACGCAUGCAAAAGAGAAAUAUUAUAGUUUCUAAAAGAAUAUUAAUUUUAAUGA